rnacentral:rRNA from 1 species
AGUGAACGCUGGCGGUAGGCCUAACACAUGCAAGUCGAACGGCAGCACAGUAAGAUCUUGCUCUUACGGGUGGCGAGUGGCGGACGGGUGAGGAAUACAUCGGAAUCUACUUUUUCGUGGGGGAUAACGUAGGGAAACUUACGCUAAUACCGCAUACGACCUACGGGUGAAAGCAGGGGAUCUUCGGACCUUGCGCGAUUGAAUGAGCCGAUGUCGGAUUAGCUAGUUGGCGGGGUAAAGGCCGACCAAGGCGACGAUCGGUAGCUGGUCUGAGAGGAUGAUCAGCCACACUGGAACGGAGACACGGUCCAGACUCCUACGGGAGGCAGCAGUGGGGAAUAUUGGACAAUGGGCGCAAGCCUGAUCCAGCCAUACCGCGUGGGUGAAGAAGGCCUUCGGGUUGUAAAGCCCUUUUGUUGGGAAAGAAAAGCAGCAGGUUAAUACCCCGCUGUUCUGACGGUACCCAAAGAAUAAGCACCGGCUAACUUCGUG